GAGUGACCACAACAGGUAGAACCAGGAUCCACCCCUUCCCAGACCUCAUUUAGGGGCUGGCAGUGGAGGUGAGGGUAUUUUACUGGAGAUCCCUGUGUUCCUGAAGCCUUCUGAAGGGACCUAGCAUAGAAACACAGAUGGUGGAAGAUGAAACUGAGACAACAAGUGAAGAUCUGCCCCCUCAUCUGCGGGAAGAACCUCCCGAAGGUGACUGCAAUGUAAUUUCAGGAAGAAAACAAAUGAGACUUGGAAGCAGCAGAACAGGUCCAGUUGCGGGAGGAUGGGUAACAAAGGAAAUGUGCUGGAAGAAUAGUCUCCUGCUUUCUGUCUUUGGAGGGCUGUAUAAUUUAUAACUGUUCUCUGCAAAGCGUCUGAGGCAGCGCCAGGUGGUGGGGAGUUGAAUUAACCCCUGUGGCGUGUAGUUAUCGGCAGAGGCCAGACCUGUGGAUCGAUACCUCCGUGCAGUGAGUCACCGUAUCAACUGUGGAAAGUGAAUCUGUAAGCUCCUUAUUUCUCCAUUCUUCUAAUCGCGAGGCUGUGUCUGGCAGUGAUGAAGAUGGAGCAGACGCAAACGCCUGAUGCUCGAAGCUCUUUGAUUUCUGAGUUGAUGGGGUGAAGCCAAUGAAAAGCCAUGAGAGACUCAGAGCUGAUAGCUAAUUGCUUCUUUCCAAGUCUCCAGCACCCCCUUUCUCUUCCUUCUCUCCUUCCCCACAAGUCUGGUUACACUCAGUAGCUGUGCAGAGUGCGCUUUGCUUGACCGCCAGAUAAUUUCCAGCAUCACUAGUUAAGCCUGUUUUUUUAUCAUUAUUAAUAAUAAAGGAUGUUUUAGUC
rnacentral:lncRNA from 7 species